rnacentral:rRNA from 1 species
CUACGGGGGGCAGCAGUUGGGAAUCUUGGGCAAUGGGCGCAAGCCUGACCCAGCGACGCCGCGUGGGGGAUGAAGGCCUUCGGGUUGUAAACCCCUGUCAGGAGGGACGAAGCCCACUCCACGAGGGUGGGUGACGGUACCUCCAGAGGAAGCCCCGGCUAACUACGUGCCAGCAGCCGCGGUAAGACGUAGGGGGCGAGCGUUGCCCGGAUUUACUGGGCGUAAAGCGGGUGUAGGCGGCCGGGUAAGUCCCGUGUGAAAGCCCACGGCUCAACCGUGGGACGUCGCGGGAAACUGCUCGGCUUGAGGGCAGCAGAGGGUGGUGGAAUUCCCGGUGUAGCGGUGAAAUGCGUAGAGAUCGGGAGGAACGCCAGUGGC